UACAGAGGGUGCGAGCGUUGUUCGGAAUUAUUGGGCGUAAAGCGCACGUAGGCGGCCGCUUAAGUCUGUCUGUGAAAGACCGGGGCUCAACCCCGGGGCUGCAGCGGAUACUGAGCGGCUUGAGACACGUAGAGGCUGGCGGAAUUCCGGGUGUAGCGGUGGAAUGCGUAGAGAUCCGGAAGAACACCGGUGGCGAAGGCGGCCAGCUGGGCGUGGUCUGACGCUGAGGUGCGAAGGCGUGGGGAGCGAACAGG
rnacentral:misc_RNA from 1 species